CAUUAGCCCUGCACUCCCUCGCUAAGUGGCUGACGUCCCAUAUUUGAGACUUCUAACUCCUUUGCUUUUUCUUUUUCUGGGUCCAAGACAUCUUGGACAAUGUGAUUACAGUUUCAAGUGAUCCUUCUGCUCAACCUUCUCUUUUUAACCUCAGGAAGCUGAGGUCCGGGGUGGGUGAAGCAACCAGUCCGGGACCCCACAAAGGGCGGCGGCGGGGCCAGUCCCGGGACCCGGUGUUCUGACCCACUUCGCACGCGACCCAGGGUGAUUCUGAGAACGGCGUCUCCGGGAGACACUUGCGGUCUCUCUCACUAGCAGACCUGCGGCCAACUUUCGGGGAGCUCUGCGGCGAGCAGGACAAUCAGAGCCGGGCUCGGCUCCCCGGUCCCCCGAUCCCAUGCGCCAGGCGCGCCGGCAACCCGAGCUCCCAGCCACUCCGGGCUGCCGUGCGCGUCACCCGGCAUCUUCACCAACGCGCCUGGGUCGGGCCUCCGCUUCCGACACUCACGUUCAGCCAGCAUAGACAUGUCGGAGAGCCUGUGAUACCGCCGCCUCUGGACCUGGGUGACUGCGGCCACUGGGCGGGCUGGAGACUCCAGGAGAAUCAGGACGUGCGUAACUCCCUCGCCGGCGGACUGCAGCGGACGGGGCGCGUGCUGGUGACGUCAGUAGCGCGCGACUCGCUCCUCGAGCACGCGGCGGCGAGGGGGCGGAGCAGGGCGGGGCAACCUGGGGAGGUGACGGGAGAAAGAGGGACUGAGGGGGCGGUGGCCGCCCUGCGGGAGGUGGAGAAAGGAUGCACACACUGGAAGGUUGCCUUUAUUAUAUCCAUUUCUGUAUUCGUACCAGCACCUCGCAAAAUAAUUUUCUGUAUGUUAUAGAAGUUCAAAGAAGACAAACUCUAGCCAAGAGCAGUGUGAAGAAAAGAAGACGCUAUAUUAAUCACAGUCCAGGGAUGCCUUCUGGCUUCCUGGCAGCAAUUCCGGCCUGAGAUUCCUUCUCUGUGCAUACUUCCUGUCAACAUUGUGUGAUGUCAAGCUGUGGCCGUCACAAAAGUACUGUGAACACCUGUAAAUCCCAACUAUCAAAAAUCACACCCAGGAAUCCAAAUUAGCAUUAUUAUGUCAAAAGAAAAACCUGAUUUCUUCACUGUCUGAUAACUGCUUUCUUUAUUGUCCUAAACUAGCAUUCCCUAACCUUUGAGUGAGAUAGUGACACUUUAGUUUCUUAUAUUCUAAAAUGUUUUCAGGGGCAGCUGGUGGCAGAGGAGAGGGCAGUGGGGAUAGGGCAGGGAGACAGAUACCUGCACAAGGAAGGUAUGGGGAUGAGGUGGGAGUCAAGAUGAUGAACGGAGAGAGGGAUGGUAACCGAUUUAGUCACCCAUUUGAGAGGGUCUCCAGACUUGCACUGCUGGCUAAAGACUCCUGUCCUAAGUGAGAAAGCAUCAUGUCAGGCAGGGGCUCUAUCCCGGUGGUUAUGGGUGGACAUUCUGGAGUGAUCUAAGGAGGCUUCCCGAGUCUCACUGUUGGCUCUCCCUGACCCCUUCUAAAGCUUUCUUUCUAGCUUCUGCUGCCCUCCAGGUAAGCACUCCACAGCCUGUGGAGCUCUGUGGGUAUAGUCUGUCCUUCCCAUAAUGAUUUGCCUCGCUGCAGUAAUUAACAGAAUGACUUCCAAAAUUAAGGGUUCAAAUCUGGCUGUGACACCUACAAUUAUGUCCCCUCUCUGAUUCCUCACCUGCUAAUCCAUGGGGUUGCUGUGAGCACAUGGGAUGCCUCAUGAUACUGCAAGUGGCCACUGCCAGUUGCCUUGAGAAUUACAAGCAGCUCUUGGUGCCUAAUCUGCUCCAUCUCUUAUUCUUCAUAUUCUAUGUAUGUCUUCCUCUGCCACUUACCAGCUGUUGACCUUGGGCAGGUUACUAAAUUUCCUAUGCUUUCUUUUCCCCAUUUAUGUAAGAAUAGCAAUGAUACCUACCUCAAAGGUACUGUAGAUGCUAUAGAUGGAACAUUGGUUUCCUCCUUAAAAUUUACAUAUUGAAAUCUUAACCCCCAAUGUGAGAGUAUUUGCAGGUGGGACCUUGAGAGGUGAUUAGUUCACUAGGGUGGAGCCCACAUGAAUGGGAUUAAUGCCCUUAUAAAAGAGAUCCUGGAGAGUCUUGUCCCUUCCACCCUGUGAGGACAUGGUGAGAAGUGGCCCCUCACCAGACACCAAUUCUGCCAGCACCUUGAUCUUGGACUUCCC
rnacentral:lncRNA from 1 species